rnacentral:rRNA from 1 species
GACGAACGCUGGCUGCGUGCUUAACACCUGCCAGUCGCACGAAGUGGCGAACGGGUGAGUAAUACGUGGGUAACCUGCUCUCCUUUUUGGGACAAGCCUUGGAACCGGGGUCUAAUACCGAAUAAAUGGGGAUGGGCUCGCGGCCUAUCAGCGUGUUGGUGGGGUGAUGGCCUACCAAGGCGGUGACGGGUAGCCGGCCUGAGAGGGUGAACGGCGAGUAUGGGACGGAGAGACGGCGCAGACUGCUAAGGGAGGGAGCAGUGGGGGAUAUUGAACAAUGGGCGAAAGCCUGAUGCAGCGACGCCGCGUGGGGGAUGAAGGCUUUCGGGUUGUAAACCUCUGUCGCUAUAGAACGGGUAGGUGGAGAAGAAGCGCCGGCUAACUAGGUGCCAGCAGCCGCGGUAAUUC